rnacentral:rRNA from 1 species
UACGGAGGGUGCAAGCGUUAUCCGGAUUCACUGGGUUUAAAGGGUGCGUAGGUGGGUUGGUAAGUCAGUGGUGAAAUCUCCGUGCUUAACAUGGAAACUGCCAUUGAUACUACUGAUCUUGAAUUUUCGGGAGGUAAGCGGAAUAUGUCAUGUAGCGGUGAAAUGCUUAGAUAUGACAUGGAACACCAAUUGCGAAGGCAGCUUACUACACAGUUAUUGACGCUGAGGCACGAAAGCGUGGGGAUCAAACAGG